rnacentral:rRNA from 1 species
UACGUAGGGUGCAAGCGUUGUCCGGAUUUAUUGGGCGUAAAGAGCUCGUAGGCGGCUUGUCGCGUCGACUGUGAAAUCCCGAGGCUCAACCUCGGGUCUGCAGUCGAUACGGGCAAACUAGAGUAUUGCAGGGGAGACUGGAAUUCCUGGUGUAGCGGUGAAAUGCGCAGAUAUCAGGAGGAACACCGGUGGCGAAGGCGGGUCUCUGGGCAAUAACUGACGCUGAGGAGCGAAAGCGUGGGGAGCGAACAGG